rnacentral:rRNA from 1 species
CCUACGGGAGGCAGCAGUGGGGAAUAUUGCACAAUGGGGGAAACCCUGAUGCAGCGACGUCGCGUGAGUGAAGAAGUAUUUCGGUAUGUAAAGCUCUAUCAGCAGGGAAGAAAAUGACGGUACCUGAUUCAGAUGCCCCGGCUAACUACGUGACAGCAGCCGCGGUAAUACGUAGGGGGCAAGCGUUAUCCGGAUUUACUGGGUGUAAAGGGAGCGUAGACGGCAGCACAAGUCUGGAGUGAAAUGCCGGGGCUUAACCCCGGAACUGCUUUGGAAACUGGGUAGCUAGAGUGCAGGAGAGGUAAGUGGAAUUCGUAGUGUAGCGGUGAAAUGCUUAGAUAUUAGGAGGAACACCAGUGGCGAAGGCAGCUUACUGGACUGUAACUGACGUUGAGGCUCGAAAGCGUGGGGAGCAAACAGGAUUAGAUACCCCUGUAGUC